AGCUGGCUGCGUUUAUUGUGGCUUCGUAGGGUGCAGCCGUACGGUGGCGGUAGUGGCUGGCCGUGCAGUGCUGUGUGGCCUUUCCGGUGUUCCUGGAACUCUUUGCCGAAAACACGGAAACAGGUUUCGCCUGCAUGUUUGAGGGAGUAGUCUGAUAGUUGCCCCCGUUUGCAACCCUGGCCAUACGUAAGGAAUAUUGAUGUACGGACUCGUCGUGAUUUUCAUGAUAUCACGCAUUUUCAUGCAACAUGGUGGCAACCAGGGUUGCCUUUCUCCUUUGGGUGUUGCUGCCCAUCGUGGAAGCGCGGCCUCUCAAACCUAACCUGGGCCGCCAGGAAUUCCCCCGACGCCUGUUGUGGGCUCCUCCCC
rnacentral:lncRNA from 1 species